UGGUAGGUGGAGUUAGUCGCCCAUAAGAGUUUAAUUAAUAUUAAGGAUUGUUGUACAGUAUGCAACCCAUUUCCAAUCCUAGCCCAACCCCAUGAGUAUUUCAAGCCUAAAGCCUAGCAGCUAUUCUUCGUUGACAUCAACAAUUUACCGAGUUUACUAGACUGUGCUCCCACAGCCAAAUUACAUAUAAACCAAACUUCCGGUGACUGGAGCUGCAGCAACAUAAUUAUAACAUGGCAAGAUCCGCGAAGCAAAUUAUCUAGGAAUGUUUGCGAAUUCAAAUCCACAGCUCCCACACCGAAAUUACUUUAAAAAAUAAAACAUGAUCUACUGUUUGGCUAGCAAAACAGGCAUAAUGAAUUGCUCCCCACAUGUUUGAGAAAAUGCAUGAGUGGACACCACACCACACUCCCAACCAUAGAGACUCAUCCCAAGGUUAUCCACUUGAUUCACUCACCUGCUACAGUGUCCUCAACAGCAGUAAACAAUCUGUGUCACGGUGUCAUCCUUACAGGGCUUCAAAACAUGAUCACGUCAAGGCCACUAUGUCAGAACCACAAUUCUGUAGUAAACCAAGUAGUAGCUGCUAUUAUCAAAAACCAACCCUUUGAUCCCAACUCGCUGCCUCAACCAACACCCAACCAUGGACCUUGGAAUCAGUUUCCCAAGUCCUAAGGUCUAUACCAAGGUUCCUCUUCCAAUCCCCUCGCUCCAUUGGUCGCCAAACAAGUUUCAGACACCGUGCUCCUUUGAACAAUGUAAACUCAAAGAAGAAUCCUAUAAACUACAUAACAGUGUUCUUGUUCUUGGCCCUUCUGCUCACAGAGACCCCCAGAAGGUCAACUUAGGAUUGGACAAAGCAAUGGAGAAACUACUGGGUUGAGAACCAUUUUGGGUUUGCCCACAACGAGAUUACUUGUAAAGAGAUGGCCUGUGUGUUGGCCAAAGGGAAUAGAUUGAAAGCUCUUUGGGAAUUUUUGAAUGAAAUGUCAAAGAGAGGGAAUGGUGGGCUUAUGACCACUGCUACUGUUACCUGUUUGAUAAAAGUUCUAGGAGAGGAAGGGUUGGUCAAUGAAGCGUUGGCUGCAUUUUAUAGGAUGAAGCAGUUACAUUGUAAACUGGAUGUGUAUGCAUAUAACACGAUUAUUUAUGCUCUUUGUAGAGUAGGGAACUUCAAGAAGGCAAGGUUUUUGUUGGAGCAGAUGGAAUUGCCGGGUUUUAGAUGCCCACCCGAUACAUAUACGUACAUGAUAUUGAUUAGUUCGUAUUGUAAGUAUAGCUUGCAAACUGGGUGUAGAAAAGCUAUUAGGAAAAGGAUGUGGGAAGCAAACCAUUUGUUUCGGAUUAUGCUUUUCAAGGGAUUUAUUCCUGAUGUUGUGACGUACAAUUCUUUGAUUAAUGGUUGUUGUAAAACUUACCGGAUCGAGAGGGCUUUGGAGUUGUUUCAAGAUAUGAAUGAAAGGGGUUGUAUUCCCAACCAGGUUACUUAUAAUUCUUUUAUUAGAUACUAUAGUGCAGUAAAUGAAAUUGAUAAGGCUGUUGAGAUGUUAAGGAAGAUGCAAGAAAUGAAUCAUGGAAUGCCUACUUCAAGUUCAUGUACCCCAAUUAUACAUGCUCUCUGUGAAGCAGGAAGGGUUUUGGAGGCCCGGAAUUUUCUUGUUGAGUUGGUUGAUGGAGGUUCGAUACCUAGAGAAUAUACUUAUAAACUAGUCUGUGAUACUUUGAACUGUGGGGAGAAGACCAACUUGCUUGAUGAAGAACUGCAUAAGAGAAUAAAUGAAGGUAUAGAAAAGAGAUAUAUGCAAGUAAUGAAGGUAAAGCCACUUAUGACCCGCAAAGGAUAUCUUAGUGCGGUUGAAGUAUGACAUGGAGGAGAAAUGGUUAUGGUCCUAUGUAAAGAUUUUUGUAGAACAAGAAGAACUUUGGUGGGCAUUUGGGCAUUUUUCUGGAAGCGGUAGAGAAGGAGCUCAUUUCUUGUCCCUCUGUGGCCUUAUGUCAUAUCAGGACCAAGUUUGCUCUGCCUUACGGAGACGAGGUAGCCAGGAGCCCUUCCCAGAUGAGUGCUGCCAAAGGGCAGUUUUUGUGAAGUUGGAAGUGCUUAAAUGCCCUUAUUUAUUUCUUUUGUUCUUCAGAUUUUGGCAUGUUGCAUUUUUUCUGGGUGACACAAACUCGAUAAUAUCAAGAAUACUCCUUUCAGUUUAUCUGCAGAUUAGGUGCUUUUGUAAACUAGCCAAUUUACAGGGUUGUUUAUAUGCGUUUUGUUUGUUUCGAUGUAAAAUAUUUUCAGAAAAAUAUUUUCCAAUUUUACGGUGUCUGUUUUGCAGUAAAAUAUUUGGUCAAAAGUAAAAUAUUUUCAGGCAACCAAAUCAACCUAAGCAAAUUAUGUAAAAUAUUUUACACUUAAAAUUUUGGUAAAACAUUUUACAUUUUCUCACUCCUUCACAACCCAAUAAUUAUCACUCCCGCAAUUACUUUCGUGCUUAAACUCUCCCUCUCAUU